UACGUAGGUGGCAAGCGUUGUCCGGAUUUACUGGGCGUAAAGAGCGCGCAGGCGGUCGUUCAAGUCGCGUGUGAAAGCCCCCGGCUCAACUGGGGAGGGUCACGCGAUACUGAUCGACUCGAAGGCAGGAGAGGGAAGUGGAAUUCCCGGUGUAGUGGUGAAAUGCGUAGAUAUCUGGAGGAACACCGGUGGCGAAGGCGACAUCCUGGACCGGUAUUGACGCUGAGGCGCGAAAGCCAGGGGAGCAAACGGG
rnacentral:rRNA from 1 species